rnacentral:rRNA from 1 species
UACGUAGGGGGCAAGCGUUGUCCGGAUUUAUUGGGCGUAAAGAGCGUGUAGGCGGCCUGGAAGGUCAGCUGUGAAAACUCGAGGCUCAACCUCGAGACGUCGGUUGAAACCACCUGGCUAGAGUCCGGAAGAGGAGAGUGGAAUUCCCGGUGUAGCGGUGAAAUGCGCAGAUAUCGGGAAGAACACCCGUGGCGAAGGCGGCUCUCUGGGACGGUACUGACGCUGAGACGCGAAAAGCG